rnacentral:rRNA from 1 species
CCGGUUUUGGUUGUUUGGUUUUUUUUUUUGUUCCUUUGGGAAGAACAAGUACGAGAGUAACUGCUCGUACCUUGACGGUACCUAACCAGAAAGCCACGGCUAACUACGUGCCAGCAGCCGCGGUAAUACGUAGGUGGCAAGCGUUGUCCGGAAUUAUUGGGCGUAAAGCGCGCGCAGGCGGUCCUUUAAGUCUGAUGUGAAAGCCCACGGCUCAACCGUGGAGGGUCAUUGGAAACUGGGGGACUUGAGUGCAGGAGAGAAGAGUGGAAUUCCACGUGUAGCGGUGAAAUGCGUAGAGAUGUGGAGGAACACCAGUGGCGAAGGCGACUCUUUGGCCUGUAACUGACGCUGAGGCGCGAAAGCGUGGGGAGCAAACAGGAUUAGAUACCCUGGUAGUCCACGCCGUAAACGAUGAGUGCUAAGUGUUAGAGGGUUUCCGCCCUUUAGUGCUGCAGUAAACGCAUUAAGCACUCCGCCUGGGGAGUACGGCCGCAAGGCUGAAACUCAAAGGAAUUGACGGAUUG